rnacentral:rRNA from 1 species
UACGGAGGGUGCAAGCGUUAUCCGGAUUCACUGGGUUUAAAGGGUGCGUAGGCGGAUUUGUAAGUCCGUGGUGAAAUCUCCGAGCUUAACUCGGAAACUGCCAUGGAUACUAUAAGUCUUGAAUGUUGUGGAGGUUUGCGGAAUAUGUCAUGUAGCGGUGAAAUGUUUAGAUAUGACAUAGAACACCGAUUGCGAAGGCAGCAGGCUACACAAAUAUUGACGCUGAGGCACGAAAGCGUGGGGAUCAAACAGG